rnacentral:rRNA from 1 species
AUUGAACGCUGGCGGCAUGCUUUACACAUGCAAGUCGAGCGGCAGCGCGGGGGGCAACCCUGGCGGCGAGCGGCGAACGGGUGAGUAAUGCAUCGGAACGUACCCUGGAGUGGGGGAUAACGCCGCGAAAGCGGCGCUAAUACCGCAUAUGCUCUGAGGAGGAAAGUGGGGGGACCGCAAGGCCUCACGCUCUGGGAGCGGCCGAUGUCCGAUUAGCUAGUUGGUGAGGUAAAGGCUUACCAAGGCGACGAUCGGUAGCUGGUCUGAGAGGAUGAUCAGCCACACUGGGACUGAGACACGGCCCAGACUCCUACGGGAGGCAGCAGUGGGGAAUUUUGGACAAUGGGGGCAACCCUGAUCCAGCCAUGCCGCGUGAGUGAAGAAGGCC